CCUACGGGAGGCAGCAGUAGGGAAUAUUGGACAAUGGACGCAAGUCUGAUCCAGCCAUCCCGCGUGAAGGAUUAAGGCCCUAUGGGUUGUAAACUUCUUUUCUUUGGGAAUAAAAAGCGGUAUUCAUAUCGCCUUGAAGGUACCAGGGGAAUAAGCACCGGCUAACUCCGUGCCAGCAGCCGCGGUAAUACGGAGGGUGCAAGCGUUAUCCGGAUUCACUGGGUUUAAAGGGUGCGUAGGUGGCUUUGUAAGUCAGCGGUGAAAGCCUGGAGCUCAACUCCAGAAUUGCCAUUGAUACUGCAGAGCUUGAAUCAAGUUGAGGUGGAUGGAAUAUUACAUGUAGCGGUGAAAUGCUUAGAUAUGUAAUAGAACACCGAUUGCGAAGGCAGUUCACUAAGCUUGUAUUGACACUGAGGCACGAAAGCGUGGGGAUCAAACAGGAUUAGAUACCCUGGUAGUCCACGCCCUAAACGAUGCAAACUCGACAUUAGCGAUAUACAGUUAGUGUCCAAGCGAAAGCGUUAAGUUUGCCACAGGAGACGACGACGAGUAGAACGACGAAGAGUAGUAGACGNGAGAGAGACGACGACGACGACGACGGAGGGAGGAGG
rnacentral:rRNA from 1 species